UACGGAGGGUGCAAGCGUUGUCCGGAAUCACUGGGCGUAAAGGGCGCGUAGGCGGCUCGGUAAGUAGGGGGUGAAAUCCUGCGGCUUAACCGCAGGGCUGCCUUCUAAACUGUCGAGCUCGAGCACGGUAGAGGCAGAUGGAAUUCCCGGUGUAGCGGUGGAAUGCGUAGAGAUCCGGAAGAACACCGGUGGCGAAGGCGGCCUGCUGGGCAGUGGCUGACACUGAGGCGCGACAGCGUGGGGAGCAAACAGG
rnacentral:rRNA from 1 species